GCUGGCUGAAGUCGGUGUCAGUCACUAGAAAAUAACUGCACAGAAUUCUGGAGUUGGGAAGUUCACCAGGUCAUUCUGUUUGAAGACUUUUUUUCUGGGAGGAAAAUAAAAUGAGCCAGCAUUUCCUUACUGCCUGUGACUAGACACCAGAAGCUGUAACUCAGUAGCUAGGCCAGGGGUGCCCACAUCUACAGUAGCCCUGGAGGAUAUGGGGGCAAGGGGUGCUGCACAGAGCAAAAAAGUGCCCUGUCUGCCUUGCUUAGGGUAUUUCAGUAUAAUUUUCAAAAAUAUUCUGCUGGCUAAAUUUGUCUCCCAUGGCACCUGUUUUUGACCCAGAUCUAGGUAGAGGAGGGAAGCAACUUAGGUGAUUAAACAGAUUCCUGACCCCACCCUUUCUGUUCCCAGGAGGAGUUGGCAUCGGGGCCAAUGACUUUGCAUGUGGCCUCUCUUCCGGGGGUAAGCACUGGCCAUGUUUGAGGAACCCACUAUACCAUGGCUUCUAGAUGAGGGGAUACCCUGAGCAGCCAGGUCCAGCCUGUCCAGCUAUGAAGAUGAGACCAGCCUGGGCUGUUAUAGAGUGGGAUCUAGGGCCUAGGAAUUUGAAAUCACACUUUCUUCAUUCUUUCUUCUGGAAACAGCUUUCCUCAUCACAAGAGAGAUAAGAUCCAAGAUGCAGGAUCAACUUGAUUGAAGGAAGUGAUAAGCUGUGUAAGUUGCUUGGUUCUAGCUAUAGACGAGUGAUUCCACACUUGCACGCUUAUGAGAAUCACCUAGGAAAGCUAUACGUCCGUGGAGAAAAAGAAACAAUAGGUGACUACAGUGGCCCACUUACCAGCAUCUGUCCCUGUCUCUCAUAGUCUGCCUUCCCUCCUUGUCUUAAUAUGUUUGUGCUGUUAUAACAGAAUACCCAAGACUGG
ensembl:lincRNA